CGUUAGCUCAAUGGUAGAGCAGUAGGCUUUUAACCUAUUGGUUGAAGGUUCGAGUCCUUCACGGC
rnacentral:tRNA from 1 species